GAUGAAGAACGUAGCGAAAUGCGAUAAGUAAUGUGAAUUGCAGAAUUCAGUGAAUCAUCGAAUCUUUGAACGCACAUUGCGCCCGCCAGUAUUCUGGCGGGCAUGCCUGUUCGAGCGUCAUUAUAACCCUCAAGCUCAGCUUGGUGUUGGGGCCUGCUGCACUGGCAGCCCUUAAAAUCAGUGGCGGCGCCAUCUGGCUCUAAGCGUAGUAAUUCUUCUCGCUAUGGAGUCCUGGUGGAUGCUUGCCAUCAACCCCCAAUUUUUCUAUGGUUGACCUCGGAUCAGGUAGGGAUACCCGCUGAACUUAAGCAUAUCAAUAAGCGGAGGA
rnacentral:misc_RNA from 1 species